GCUUACAACCACACCGACCUGAGUACGCCUGAUCUCGUCUGAUCUCGGAAGCUAAGCAGGGUCGGGCCUGGUUAGUACUUGGAUGGGAGACCACCUGGGAAUGCCAGGUGCUGUAAGCU
ensembl:rRNA 5S_rRNA 5S ribosomal RNA